GGCUGAAUUUGUGGAAGUACUUCUCCACGUAUUGGCCAUCUGCGUACGUCGAAGUCGGUGGAGUUUUCACACGCUCCAACACACAGAGCACAGCUGUCAUGCCAACAAAUUCCCCUUUAGUCUCACCCAGGACGUCCUUGUCAUGCUGUGGUAUGAGGGUAGUCCAGUGCUGCCUGUCUGGUUUCUGGAUGUCGAUGUUGAUGAGGCGGUACCGGGGAGCGUCCAGGUUGGAGCGGAACGUGAAGACAGUCCCCUCAUUGGUGACGUACGAGUACUGGGCGUCGAAGUUGUCCACGAGUUUGACCCACGGCAGCAGGCCUGAAGGAGAAAAUAAAAAAUAAAAAACUCCAAUUUAAAA